rnacentral:misc_RNA from 1 species
UAAUAAGUGUUUUAUGGCACUUUUUAAAUCCAUAUCCACCUUGUGUGCAAUGUCAGUCGAUCUUCUUCAUGGAGAUCGACCAAACAUCAACCUUUAUCCUUUUAACUCUUUGUCUGAAAAAUAUUAUGAAUAAACAAUUCAAAAUA